rnacentral:RNase_P_RNA from 3 species
GAAAGCAGGAGAGGCAAUCGCAAGAAAGUUUUAUUUUGUUUCCAAAAUAAAACUUUCUUGAGGAAAGUCCGGGCUCCCAAAUGGUCAGGCUUGCUGGGUAAUUCCCAGUGCGGGCAACCGUGAGGAUAGUGCCACAGAAACAUACCGCCUAAUACUUUAUUGUAUGGCAAGGGUGCAAAGGUGUGGUAAGAGCGCACCAGCAACAUUGAGAAGUGUUGGCUAGGUAAACCCCAGCUGGGUGCAAGGCUUAGUAGAUUUUUGACCAUUAAACAAUCUACUUUUAAGCGCCGCUUGAGAUUGUGAAGUAAUUCCAGUCCUAGAUAGAUGAUUGCCCAUCUUAUUAAUUAAGAUGAACAGAACCCGGCUUAUGACCUGCUUUCUAAU